AUGCAAGUCGAACGAUGAUCCCCAGCUUGCUGGGGGGAUUAGUGGCGAACGGGUGAGUAACACGUGAGUAACCUGCCCUUGACUCUGGGAUAAGCCUGGGAAACUGGGUCUAAUACUGGAUAUGACCGACUAUCGCAUGGUGGUUGGUGGAAAGCUUUUGUGGUUUUGGAUGGACUCGCGGCCUAUCAGCUUGUUGGUGGGGUAAUGGCCUACCAAGGCGACGACGGGUAGCCGGCCUGAGAGGGUGGACGGCCACACUGGGACUGAGACACGGCCCAGACUCCUACGGGAGGCAGCAGUGGGGAAUAUUGCACAAUGGGCGCAAGCCUGAUGCAGCGACGCCGCGUGAGGGAUGAAGGCCUUCGGGUUGUAAACCUCUUUCAGUAGGGAAGAAGCGAAAGUGACGGUACCUGCAGAAGAAGCGCCGGCUAACUACGUGCCAGCAGCCGCGGUAAUACGUAGGGCGCAAGCGUUAUCCGGAAUUAUUGGGCGUAAAGAGCUCGUAGGCGGUUUGUCGCGUCUGCCGUGAAAGUCCGGGGCUUAACUCCGGAUCUGCGGUGGGUACGGGCAGACUUGAGUGAUGUAGGGGAGACUGGAAUUCCUGGUGUAGCGGUGAAAUGCGCAGAUAUCAGGAGGAACACCGAUGGCGAAGGCAGGUCUCUGGGCAUUAACUGACGCUGAGGAGCGAAAGCAUGGGGAGCGAACAGGAUUAGAUACCCUGGUAGUCCAUGCCGUAAACGUUGGGCACUAGGUGUGGGGGACAUUCCACGUUUUCCGCGCCGUAGCUAACGCAUUAAGUGCCCCGCCUGGGGAGUACGGCCGCAAGGCUAAAACUCAAAGGAAUUGACGGGGGCCCGCACAAGCGGCGGAGCAUGCGGAUUAAUUCGAUGCAACGCGAAGAACCUUACCAAGGCUUGACAUGAACCGGAACGGCGCAGAGAUGUGUCGGCCACUUGUGGCCGGUUUACAGGUGGUGCAUGGUUGUCGUCAGCUCGUGUCGUGAGAUGUUGGGUUAAGUCCCGCAACGAGCGCAACCCUCGUUCAUGUUGCCAGCGGGUUAUGCCGGGGACUCAUGGGAGACUGCCGGGGUCACUCGGAGGAAGGUGGGGACGACGUCAAAUCAUCAUGCCCCUUAUGUCUUGGGCUUCCGCAUGCUACAUGGCCGGUACAAAGGUUGCGAUGCUGUGANGUGGAGCUAUCCCAAAAGCCGGUCUCNUUUCGAUUGAG
rnacentral:rRNA from 1 species